rnacentral:lncRNA from 1 species
AAAAUUCUUAUUAGAUUACACUUGAAAAUUUCAGAAAAAUUGAACACUGACUAUUGAAGAAUUCAGAAACUAUAGAGAAUUAAAUAAAAACCACCUGGAAUGGUGGUUUUACCUGGAAUGACUACUGUUGAAAUAAAUCAUGUGAUGGUCAAGGUAUAUGUGGCCUUUUCUGUGUGUGUCCUUCACUGACCUCAUGGUCCAAGUCUUAUCCGACUGAACUCAUCUGUGUGUCAUUGACAACCAGGCCUGUAACAUCCCACCAGGAGCCACCAGAAGCUGGCAGAGGAUCACAGAUGCAAUGGCUGAAGCUUAAGCAUCUAUCCUGUUACAAUGAGGAUGAAGCCAGAUCUUGA